CCUACGGGAGGCUGCAGUGAGGAAUAUUGGUCAAUGGACGAGAGUCUGAACCAGCCAAGUAGCGUGAAGGAUGACUGCCCUAUGGGUUGUAAACUUCUUUUAUAUGGGAAUAAAAUGUUCCACGUGUGGGAUUUUGUAUGUACCAUAUGAAUAAGGAUCGGCUAACUCCGUGCCAGCAGCCGCGGUAAUACGGAGGAUCCGAGCGUUAUCCGGAUUUAUUGGGUUUAAAGGGAGCGUAGGUGGAUUGUUAAGUCAGUUGUGAAAGUUUGCGGCUCAACCGUAAAAUUGCAGUUGAAACUGGCAGUCGUGAGUACAGUAGAGGUUGGCGGAAUUCGUGGUGUAGCGGUGAAAUGCUUAGAUAUCACGAAGAACUCCGAUUGCGAAGGCAGCUCACUGGACUGCAACUGACACUGAGGCUCGAAAGUGUGGGUAUCAAACAGGAUUAGAUACCCCUGUAGUC
rnacentral:rRNA from 1 species